GGAACAACAAGUGCAGCUCACACCUGGCUGGCUCUGAACUGUGCUAAUGGAAGGGGAGCGGAGCAGAGCAAUCCUGAACAAUAGACCACAGUCGACUACGGGUAACCUAAACUGUGGAAAGCAAAACCACAGAGAAGGGAAGACUACUGGAGUAACGGCCGGAAAGGAACACAGGCAAAAAAACUUUCCUUUUAUUGAGCUUUAUGUAUAACUGUGAUCGCAAAAAUAAGUAAAUCAAUGUUAAAAUGUAAAAAAAGAAAAAAGUAAUGGAUUGAUACACUUUCAUUACACCAGCACUUUUAAAAGCUGGAAUAUACAUACAUAUUGGUCUGUGACAGCAAUGAACAAUAUUGCAGUUUCUGUUUUUGAGACUUAACCUCUACAAAUUUAUUGAAGAUUUUGUCAAAAUUGAUCUUCACAUACUCAUGUUCAAUUGGCAGUUUGUUGAUGUCUCUUCCAUCAUAGUUAAUUGUUAAUUUUAAUUCAGAAAAAAAUCUCUUUUACAUGAGUCAGCAGAUAUACAAAUAGGAAGUUUUAAACAAAAGAGUAGGUCUGUCAGAGACUCAUAAAAAUUCCAUUUUGCAAUUAAUUUCAGAAGUUGUAAGACUGUCCAUGUAAAUGUUUCUUUGGGGUCAAUUAUGACUACUUUCAAAUAUCUCCACAGUCAAAAAACUUCUACUAGAAUAUCCUCACCAGAAAAUUCACCAUACAUUUCUAUUGUCAUUGGUAAACUUCUGCAAUUUUUCUUCUAGAAGAAUCAGAAAAUGGCUAUGUGGCAGUAAAUAUUGGUAUUAUUUGAUCUGUUGCUUUAGAACAAGCAUCCAGUUCUUGAAAACAAAGCAUUUAAACAUUGCUUUUUGAGUUCUUCUGGCCAUGGUCAUGUGGAAGAACAGAAUAGAAACUAAGAUCUUGUUUCUUCAUGUUACAAUUAUGCCUAGCAUGGUUUAUUUUCAAUCUAUUGUUUAAGCAUAGGAAUAUAUGGUUCUGUUACCAAAACACCAGGGGUUCGGUCUAGGUCCUGCUGCUUGACGCACAGAUAGGCAAUCACUUAAAUGAUGAUAGGUGAGCAUUGCAAAGGAAGACUUUAAUUGGGUGUUGCAGCCGGGGAGAUGGGAGCUCAGUCUCAGAUCCAUUUCCUUGACUGACCAAAACCCAAGGGUUUUUAUAACAGGGAAGAAAUGAAACAAUAUGUAAGAAAACAGGAACUAGGGAGGGGCAAGGGAAGCAGUGAUGAUGAAUGAGGGGUCCUGGCAUCUCACUGUCUGGAUGUGGUGAUCUGGGGAGUUUCAGUUCUUUGAGUUUUUUUUUUUUGUUUUUUUUUUUGAGAGGCCUGAAGGUCAUUUCCUGAGGAAAGAACCCAUGCAAAACAAAUAAAAUGCACCCCUUAUAGCCUGCACCUGGGAUGGAUGGAUCCACCGGCUGCCCCACCCCUGGUACCCCAAUGCCUCAAAUAAGGAGCAGGGGCAACUGUCAUGCAAAACCUUUGGAAGAGGGCCUUUGUGACAACUCACAAAGUCAAGGCCUGCAUCCAGGUUGCAGAUCUGUUUUGUUUGGUCUACAAUGUUAAAAAAAUUUUAAAUUAAAAACUUAAACC